UGAAAAAUAAAUUUAAAAAAUCUACUGUCUGUUGUGACAAAAAACAAAACACCAAAAUGAGCACCAGCCUAUCUAAUUUAUAAUUAUGGAAAUUGAGGCCAUCAAUAUAUCUUUGAGGUCAAGUUGACGAUUACUUCCCCCACUCUCCUCGCCUCAGAUGCGUACGAGGAAAGCUCUUAAUUACUUUAUUGUGAAAAGAACUCCACAUCCAAGAUGAGUGGUUUCAAGCAUCUUCUGAUUUACGUUUUAUUUGCGUUAUUCUUGGUCACGAGUGCUCUGCCUGCACCGAGGAAGUUGUACAAAUUUUCUGAUGCCCCGAAACGUGUUUGUGGUCAAGACCAAAUCAUUAUCAGGGAGAUUUGCAGAAAUAAAGGACAACUCAUUAAAGGGAAACUUGCCUGUACCUGACGUAGAAUAGAUUAAACUACAAUAUAAAUGUACAUACAAAGUAUCAUAUUCAAAAAAUACAUUACAUUUUAAUGGACAAAAUGUUUUCUUGUUUUUCUACUUAAUUCUUUAUAAAUGAUUUUUUUUUUUUUUUUUUUUUUUUUUUACAAAUAUUUGAUGCAAAAAUUUUUGAAUGAGAUUUUUUGGGCUAUUUACAAUGGAGGGCUGUUUUAAUUCAUAAUCAUUAAUAUCCCUGUCCUGUUUCUUGAGAAAAGGAAAAAGCAACGUUUUCUUGGGAAAGUAACAGCUAAAAUAAAAUUGAAGCUAAAAAAGUAAAAAAUUUUCAACAAUAUAGUCACAUGUUCUACAACUGUAUGUAUUUCAGUAAUGAUAAGUAAAAACAUAAUAUACGGUGGUCUCGUAUAUUUGGCGUGGAGUGGCGGAAAGUCGCCCGCGGCUUAGCCAAAUUGCAUUCCGCCGAUUGUUCCAGCAGACUUGUGCGGACCGACGAGAAUUGCAUGCCUACUUUGGAUCCGGCGGCAGUUUGCAUUUGCACACUGGUGUAUGUGGCCGGCGGGGUGCACGGAGCCAAAGAGUGGUGGCAUUAUGCUGCCAAGAGCAAUUCAAAACAUUUUCAUCACCGAGCUAGCGAGCGAGUGGCUGAGCCAGCACGAGGAUCAUCCUCUCCAAUUAAAUUUGACAAAUGUUGCAUGAAAAAUGAAAUUUAUUAAACUCCGCUUGGCGCGCUCCUCAUUUUAAUUGCCGCGCAGCCGGCAGCAUUAUUUAAUUUCCCGAUGAUUUAUAACGAGGGAAGAGCCGCUUUUAAUAAUGAAAGAUAGAAAAAAAGAAAGUGAUUUUUCGCUCCACUUCUCGAGCGCCCUUGACUUUUGAUUCAAUUUGGUGCACAUGAAAAAAUAUUUUAUACAAAUUUGAAUGCGAACAUCGGACGACUGGAAAAUUAUCAGAAAGAAUAUGAUUGAAGUGGAUUGAAAGCUCAUCGGAAGAUAAAAAAUUCCUCCCCAGGAGAACCAUUAAUAUAGCGUAUUUAGGUCAUUUAUCUUUAGUAAAUUUUGAUGAUGCAUUAAAGGAAGUUGAUUUUGCGUUCAAUUGAACUGCAAAUAUGAGUGAUUGAUGUAAUUAUUAAAUUUUGAGUAUAAAUAUAGUAGAGUAAAUUAUUUAUUACUUGGACUUAUUAUUUGCAAAGUCAAAUCAAGUUUUUUUCACAAAAUUAAUAUUUUCAAUGCAAAUAAUUUUAAAUUGAAGAACUUGGGAAAAUGUAUCUACUUUAAAAAUUCGGCUGUCAAGGCAGAAUUUAUUUUAAGACUUUUACUGAACAAUAAACCAUAUCGUAUCGAUCUGGACGAUCGUGAAUAAACUUGUAAUAUUGCUAAAAGCCUGGCCGUCUAUUAAUAUAAUAAUAAUUUUCCACCCCCUUUCUCUCUGUUCAUUGCGCGAGACGUGCUGCUGUGUUUUGUCGGGUGCCUAUCUGAUGAACCUUGACCCUCAUUCGCUUCCUCUUUUUCUUUGCCACCCCCGCGGAGAACAAGUUAGUGCCAAAUUAGCCAUUUCUGUGGCGACACAUUUUGGCCGCGGCACAUUUUCCCUCUUCUUCCUUUUUGGGGCGAAUCGCUUCUUUUCCAGUCGGCCGCGACUUGAGCACGACUUCUUUCUCGGCCUUUCCUGAGCGACUCGCAUCCACACACAUUCACCCUAUACCGCCGCCACCACCAGCCCCUGCGCCGCUUAAUAUCGAUCUCCGCCCGCGCUUCCUUUGAUAAAAAUUUUAAACUGCUCCCAGCAAGAGCACCCCGCUCGCCUAGUCUCUCCACUAAUUUGUCCUUUGAACUUGGCCAAAUCUGCUUCGUCCUCGGGCCGCACAGAAACUUGAGUGUGUCAAAAUUGGACAGGCCUUGAAUGGGAACUACAAAUAAUAAUCAGGGAAUCUGAGCAUGAGCUGCUCAUGAGCAAGAUUGAGCAAAAUUUUGCUCAUGAGCAGCCUUGAGCAAGGGUUCGUUGAGCAUGCUCAUGAGCAAAUGCGAUUGAGCACCCUCCUAGGUGAGCAUGCUCAUGAGCAGACAAAGUUGAGCACCCCAAAAGUGAGCAUGCUCAUGAGCAGAUGAAGUUGAGCACCCUCUGAGGUGAGCAUGCUCAUGAGCAAACGUAGUUGAGCACCCCAAAAGUGAGCAUGCUCAUGAGCAGAACUAUUUGCUCAAUAAUAUCCCCUCAUCUGCUCCUAUGUAUUUUUCUCCCUGCAAUAAAUAGGAAUUAGGAAAUCAUAAAUACAUAGUGAGACCAAGAAAAUCCAGCGUAAAGGUGCUCAUGUAUCGUCUCCAAUACAUUAUCCCCGUACCCUUUCAAAAACUUCAGUGGCCUUCAGCCGCUCGCCGACUGCCGCCGCCACCCUCUCGCUGCUUCCCCUCUAGUCCUCUACUACAUAGUUCCGCUCUGCCUCCUUUAUUAUCAUGUGCUCCUGGCAUUCAUUCCUUUUUCAAAGACCCAAAUAAUCCAAGUAUUUUAAGAACGCAAUUUAAAAAUUAAUUACGUUGCGACUAAAAAUAAAAAUAAAACUUUCCCCACUUUACUUAUAAAUACAUUUGACUAUUUAAAAUCUCAAUUUUCUCUUUUUAAUUUUGGAUUUAAAUAUAACCUUCAGUAUUAUAAUUAGAGUCUAAUGAGAACCAUCACAUAUUAAUUCUUUUAUUAUUUUUAUGUUUUAAUUUUAUGAUAUUUUGGGCCACUUUUAAUUUAUUAUGCAAUUGGAUUAUAAGGAGAGUAAUACAGAAAUUGUCUCCUCAUAUAAACUUGAGCAUGAGCAAGAUUGAGCAAAAUUUGCUCAUGAGCAGCCUUGAGCAAAGGUCCGUUGAGCAGAGCAUUGAGCACAUGCAAGUGAGCACCCUGAAAGUGAGCAUGCUCAUGAGCAAAUGCGAUUGAGCACCCUCUGAGGUGAGCAUGCUCAUGAGCAGACGAGGUUGAGCACCCAAAAAGUGAGCAUGCUCAUGAGCAGAACUGGUUGAGCAGAUGAAAAUGCUCAUGCUCAGAAACCCUGAUAAUAAUAUGAAUUCCAAUAACUUGGUAGCGUCAAAAGUGUUAAAAAUAAUGUGAUUCUUUUACACACGUCAUGGUGAUAAGAUUAUAAUUAAGAGCAGAUAAAUUCCUCGUAUUUUUUUUCUUUCUUUUUUUCAUAAACAUUUGUGUUAGUUUUUACGAAAUAGGAAAUAUAAAAAUAGUAAUAUAUCGAGUAUUUGAUGAACAUUUUUACUGAAUGUUUGAACUCAAUCCACAUUGUAGGAAGACUGAUUUCAACUUGGUUAUAUUAUUUAAUAAAAAUGAUAAUUGAUUUGCUAGUUGUAAAAUGUUGAUAAAAUUUUCUCUGCUUAAAUAUACGAGAUUCUUAACUCUUAAAUUGUUAUUUGUAAAUGUUUGUUUAUAAGGCAUUUUUUGAACCAAACCAAAGAACAUAUGUUUUCCUUCUUUAAUCUAAAAUAGCCGAAAGUCGUGAAGAUACAAACAAGUGACAAAAGAAACGGCAUCGACUAAAACUUUAAUUUGGUCCACUAAAAAGUUCCAAGGCUUACUCCAAAAAGUUAAUUUUUGCCCUAUCAUAAAAAUGUGUGCGUUGUAUAAAAAAUAAAUAUCUACAACACUUUCCAAAGUUUGGCCGUUAACGGUUUUUCAUAACUCUAAAUAACGUAGGCUCGCUUUUCCCAGGAAAUUAAAAAAUCUUUCACAAGUUUGGGGAAUUUCUGGUACUACUUUCGUUCCCUUGCACUUCUCGAGUGCCGACCGGCAGCUGGCGAGAUAAACUUUUGUUAUAUCCCGUGGCCUGCUUUUGAUAGCGCGGGGCCAAUCGGCGAGUGGAGGAGCCAACUUGCUGGUUUUCGCUCGCGGAGAAUUGUCCGUUAUUAUUUUUACUGGCGGCGGCACACAUUUCUCUCUCUCUCUUUCUCUCUCUCACUCCAGGGUAAAUUACCUCUGCGUGAGUUCAAAGUAUAAAUGAUUAUCUCGCGAGGCAUAUAUAUUUUUAUACACCAACUUUUUUUAUCCCACCGGCUGAAUAUAUAAGAAGUUCACCUUUCUUUAUUCGCUCAUUAUUACUUUAUUUAACUUUUCCAACGGCACGGUCGAAGGAAUAUAAUAAAAAGUGCAGAGAAAGAAAAGGGGCGAGAGGCGAAAAUUAUUUUUGUCUCUUUCUCUCGUGUACAUAUAAACACAUAAAUCUCCGAGGGCGGUCCUUAGCAUGUCAGUUUCCCUUUUAUGUGUACGACUCGAGGAGAGUGAGAGAGGAAAGUCUGGUAAAGACUACUUGAGGAGUUUGUUUGUCAAAUUGAAAAGAAGUGGCUGGCUCUCUGCUUUUUUAAGGAGUCGGGGGGUUAAUGAAAAGAUUGUGUCGUCGUCGUCGUUUUGCCCGGGCGGAAAGGAGAGGAGACCGGCCUUGGUGACAGUGAAUUUGUGGUUUUUGCCGCCGCCCCAAGAAUAAUUGCCGUCGAGACAAAAACUAAUUUUAUUCGCCAGAUAUUAAUGCGAAAUUUCUUUUUCAUCUUUAAUGCAUUAAGUUGUAACAGAUUUGUGUUGAAACGUGUUUUGCAAGGAAAUGGCCCGCAAUUUUAUUCGCCCUCGCUGUUCCUUUCUUGCUAUAGCCAAGCGAGUUUUCAUUAGCAUUUUUGCAUUUGUACUUGUAAGAAGGAGAGGCACGCGCGUGACAACUCCGAUUGUAAAUUACUCGGGCGGUUUUAUUGCACACAAUGAAUUUCGCUAAAUUAUUUAUAAGAGUUGUUGGACGGACAGCGCUUUUUGCGCCGCCUGAUGAUGACAGAGGCGAAUGUUUGGCAAAAUAACAAUUCAUUUCUCGCUGCCUCUUCCCAAAAGUGAGUUUUUACAAUAACAGUUUUAUCUUAUCUUGUUGUCACUCGAUUCGAAAAUAUCUUAGGAAAAAGAUUGUGAAAAAUUGAAUGAAUUC